rnacentral:rRNA from 1 species
UACCAGACUCCUACGGGAGGCAGCAGUGAGGAAUAUUGGUCAAUGGGCUUACGCCUGAACCAGCCAAGUCGCGUGAGGGAAGACUGCCCUAUGGGUUGUAAACCUCUUUUGUCAGGGAGCAACGCCGGCUACGUGUAGCCGGACUGAGAGUACCUGAAGAAAAAGCAUCGGCUAACUCCGUGCCAGCAGCCGCGGUAAUACGGAGGAUGCGAGCGUUAUCCGGAUUUAUUGGGUUUAAAGGGUGCGUAGGGGGGCUGUUAAGUCAGGGUUAAAAGCCGGGGGCUCACCCCCGGCGAGCCGUUGAAACUGGCUGUCUUGAGAUGUCGAGAGGUAUGCGGAAUGCGCAGUGUAGCGGUGAAAUGCUUAGAUAUUGCGCAGAACUCCGAUUGCGAAGGCAGCUUACUAAACUAUAACUGACACUGAAGCACGAAAGCGUGGGGAUCAAACAGGAUUAGAUACCCCUGUA